rnacentral:lncRNA from 1 species
AUCUCUGCCCUGCAAGCUGAUCCAUGAAGUCAGACCAGCCUGCACUCGAGGAUGUCUCAGAUAGACUGGUGCCAAGAAGGUGUGGCUGGAGACAUGCUGGGACAUGGAGACGUGCACAGGACAUAUUGAAAAGAGAUUGGUUCAAAACCCCAGUAGAUUGGAUCAUCUGCAGCUUGGCCAAGGAGGAAGAAGGAAAACACCUUCAGAAGCAGUCAGCUUCCUGUCUUAUGUUUUUGAAGUCAAGCUGAUGGCUCACAGAACGGAUCUCAAAUAUGUAUAUAUAAUCCCUACAGCUAAAAGUCGUCUAUUUUAAAAGACAAGUGUUUGCUCACCCAAGGAACAUUGUACUCAAGCUUCAGACUUUGUGAUCCAUAUGGAUUUCAUCAACUUGUUUGCCAGGAAUUUAAGAAAAACAAACUUUAUUCAUGUUCCUUAGAGAAAUGAAUCCACUUCAUGGUCUGCUCAAAAAGAAAUACAGCUUCAGAAAAAAAACCAAAAAAAAGCCCAGCGGAUUCCUGGAACUGGAAGGUCGGAGAGCCAAAUAAUGGAUCCACUUAAUAUGAGAAAUGAGAGACUUGAAGUGGCACCAUUAUCAGCACUGGAAAUACAUGGUUCCAGCUUAGAAAGUGAUUUCAUGUCACAUCCCAUAAAGGACCCCCAGACAUGAUGUGCUUUCACAAGCCCCUCUAGAACUAGGCACUGCCACUCCUCUGAGAGCAGCAUUUACCGUCAGCCUAAAGAUGGGGUAUAUAGUCCACCAGAAGCACGCGUGCCUGGAGGCUUAACUUGAGGAGCUAAAGUUAGAUGAGACCUAUUCCACAUUACCCUGUAACAUGCUUUGGUUUAUUUGUUUGUGUGUAAAGAAUUUUGUUCUAUAGACCUAGGUUUGCUUUUUGAUAAAAACCUGUCGACCUCUACAAAAUUUAUCAGUAUUUUGUUCUCUUUAUCAGAAAAAACAGCAGUAGUAGUUUCUGCAAGAUGUAUUAAUUUACAUUGCUGCUGCAAACAGAGGUGUUUAUCUCAAAUGAUGCUUGCUUUAAAAGUACAGUCUAAUGCAGGAAAUAUAAAUUCUGAUUCAUUAUUAAAGCAAAUAAUUAUUCAGAUUAACCUCUAUACUGCCCAAAUUUAGAUAAGCAACCUAAAAUUAAUGCAAUGCAAAUCUUUAGGGUUGAAACAUUAUAGUAUGGUAUCUCACCAGCUUUUAAAGAGAGCUGUAUUUCUGCUCCGCAAGUGGUUUGUUACAUUGAA